rnacentral:rRNA from 1 species
AGAGUUUGAUCAUGGCUCAGGACGAACGCUGGCGGCGUGCUUAACACAUGCAAGUCGAACGGAGAGCGAUGGAAGCUUGCUACUAUCAAUCUUAGUGGCGAACGGGUGAGUAACGCGUAACCAACCUGCCCUUCAGAGGGGGAUAACAACGGGAAACCGUUGCUAAUACCGCGUACGAUUAAGCUUCGGCAUCGGAGUUUAAUGAAAGGUGGCCUCUAUAUAUAAGCUAUCGCUGAAGGAGGGGGUUGCGUCUGAUUAGCUAGUUGGAGGGGUAACGGCCCACCAAGGCAAUGAUCAGUAGCCGGUCUGAGAGGAUGAACGGCCACAUUGGGACUGAGACACGGCCCAAACUCCUACGGGAGGCAGCAGUGGGGAAUCUUCCGCAAUGGACGAAAGUCUGACGGAGCAACGCCGCGUGGGUGAUGACGGCCUUCGGGUUGUAAAGCUCUGUUAAUCGGGACGAAUGGUCUUUGUGUGAAUAAUGCAGAGAAUUGACGGUACCGGAAUAGAAAGCCACGGCCAACUACGUGCCAGCAGCCGCGGUAAUACGUAGGUGGCAAGCGUUGUCCGGAAUUAUUGGGCGUAAAGCGCGCGCAGGCGGUUGUAUAAGUCUGAAGUAAAAGGCAGUGGCUUAACCAUUGUGUGCUUUGGAAACUGUACAACUUGAGUGCAGAAGGGGAGAGUGGAAUUCCAUGUGUAGCGGUGAAAUGCGUAGAUAUAUGGAGGAACACCGGUGGCGAAAGCGGCUCUCUGGUCUGUAACUGACGCUGAGGCUCGAAAGCGUGGGGAGCGAACAGGAUUAGAUACCCUGGUAGUCCACGCCGUAAACGAUGAGUGAUGGGUGUUGG